GUAGUCCACGCCGUAAACGUUGGGCGCUAGGUGUGGGGGUCCUUCCACGGCCUCCGUGCCGCAGCUAACGCAUUAAGCGCCCCGCCUGGGGAGUACGGCCGCAAGGCUAAAACUCAAAGGAAUUGACGGGGGCCCGCACAAGCGGCGGAGCAUGUGGCUUAAUUCGAGGCAACGCGAAGAACCUUACCUAGGCUUGACAUGGGCAGAAAUCUGGUAGAGAUACCAGGUCCGCAAGGGCUGCUCACAGGUGGUGCAUGGUUGUCGUCAGCUCGUGUCGUGAGAUGUUGGGUUAAG
rnacentral:rRNA from 1 species